CUCUGGGCUGCCUAUCCAGUUAAUUCUGUGCAGAUCCAUGUAAAGCCUAGCACUGCUCUAUUGCAGUGCCUCCAAAAUCCUUCAAAGGAUUACAAAAUCAAACUUGGAGUCCUAUGGUUUUAUUUCCUCCACCCUGCUUUCUGACCUCUCAAGCAGGAUAACAGGACUGGCUUGUCCUUCCCUUCUCCUUUCAUGUUGUCUUUUCUUCCUCUUUGCAUUUUCAGGUGAACUAAACGUACCUGCACUGAAGAUAUUAAAUGCGACGUCUUUCCCAGGAACUGAAGCUUUUCUAGGCUGUUUCCAUUGUUCUUACCAUGAGAUGACUACCGAAAAUGUGCCCAUGCUGCUGCUGGCUUGUCUUCAAA